rnacentral:rRNA from 1 species
UAGGGAAUCUUCCGCAAUGGACGCAAGUCUGACGGAGCAACGCCGCGUGAGUGAAGAAGGAUUUCGGUUCGUAAAACUCUGUUGUUAGAGAAGAACAGCGCAUAGAGUAACUGUUAUGCGUGUGACGGUAUCUAACCAGAAAGCCACGGCUAACUACGUGCCAGCAGCCGCGGUAAUACGUAGGUGGCAAGCGUUGUCCGAAUUUAUUGGGCGUAAAGCGAGCGCAGGCGGUCAAUUAAGUCUGAUGUGAAAGCCCCCGGCUCAACCGGGGAGGGUCAUUGGAAACUGGUUGACUUGAGUGCAGAAGAGGAGAGUGGAAUUCCAUGUGUAGCGGUGAAAUGCGUAGAUAUAUGGAGGAACACCAGUGGCGAAGGCGACUCUCUGGUCUGUAACUGACGCUGAGGCUCGAAAGCGUGGGUAGCAAACAGG